CUCAGGCGAUCCACCCACCUCGGCCUCCCAAAGUGCUGGGAUUGCAGACAUGAGCCACGUGCCUGGCCCAAGAUCUCCUCUUAUCUCAUGUUGUCUAUUACCCAGGACACUUUAAUACCAUAAAUAUGUUUUCUAACCUUAUUGAGUUCUUUUCUAAUUUAACAUCCUUAUUUUCUAUAGUGUUCCAAUUAUGAGCAUCUGUGACUUGCAGAAUUUGUCAGCUUGUUAGAGACAGACAUUUGAUUUAGCAUUCAUUUCCAUUUUUAAGCUUAUCUGUCUUUUUUAUUUGUGUUUGCAGAAUUUUCAAUUUCUCAUCAGUCUCUCUGGGUUACUGUUAACGUCCUAGCAUCUCAUUGUCCAGAUUAUUAAGAAGUUAAGAAAGCUUAGUCAGCAGUAGAUGGUUGACUGUAUUUUGUAAAUAUAAGACUCAGCUAAUCACUCUUUGAAAUUUACAGGGGCAUUAUUUACUUAAUAGUCUUAGUGUGUUUAAUGCCAUCUUUGAGAGACUUCUGUGCACAAUCUCUUAUCAUCUCCAUGUAUUUGUUUCUAGCUGGGUGUUUGAGGUUAGAUAGGCUCACAAGGAGUUUAUAGAAACAAUGAUGCAUCAAAAAUUCACAUCUCAUAAUUAGAGUAAUUUUCAGUACAGCCCAGUCCUGUCCAGAAUCAGGAGACUUGACAGGCCGCAAACCAAAAGGGCAUUUGAAAUACUUACUGCUCAUCCCUCCACCUGCUCCCCCAUGCCGGGGCAGGCGCUGUGGUGAGCGUGUGGAUGGCACAGGCUCUGCGGGUGUCUGACUAGAGAGCCUCAGUUACGUGCUCUCCACCUCAUCACACAGCAGCCCCGUGUAAUAGAAAUCACUUAUUAUGAGGGUUGGCUAAAUAAAGGCACAUUGUGACCGGUCACAAUUCCUAAAUGAAUCCUCCUGACUGAUCUGGUUCUGACACUUUCAAAGCUGCUGUUAUUACUGAACAUGAACAUGUGGAAAGAAUAAAUCAAGACAGAAUGAUAAAAUUCUUAAAUGCUUUUGCUUAAAAUUAUUCAUUCUCUAGUAUGUGUGUAAAUGGGGACACAUACACACACUCCACAUAUACUCUUGCAUACUAAACGGUUCCCUAGGUGCACUUUUAUCAUUUUAUCCCAUCUCACUUUGGUAGUUCCUGUUGUAGUCCUUCUGUAGACUAAUUCUCUAAAUACUUAGAAAAAUAAGAGAGUCUUAUCUGUGUGUAGUCGUGGAUUUUGCUCCCUCUUAAAGCAUUCUCUUUUCUGAGUUCUUAAGUGUUAGAAGUGGGAAAGCCAUCUUUCUUUCAAAUUUAGCAGAUAGCAUUUCUUUGCAUAUGUACUUAAACCAUAUACACACUUACACUGUAAUAGAUACAUCAUGGAAAAGCAAACCAUAGGCUUUUAGCACUGUCAGGCAUGAGCUCUUUCCCUCUCAUCUCCACCUGGAAAGAUGUUUAGGAGAAUGGGAAGCCUCUCUGGGUCUGUAUUUAUAAGCCUUGCUGGAAAAAAAAAAAAGUCGAUUAUUUUUUAGACUCAGAUCACACCAUAAUAAAUGUGAAUAUAAACAAUCACUUAAGUGCUUUCUAAGCACUGGUUCUAUCUAUGAUCCGUCUUCCUUCUUUUAUUUAGUAAAAAGCUAACAAACAAGAAUAGAGUGCCAUUUGCAUGUUUCAUAUUUUUACCCAUUAUGGAGUCCAGUGGUUGAGUAGACUCAUCUGAUAGCCAAGAGAAGCAAACAAAAUUGAUUUCCUGUAGCCCACAGUGAGUUUCCCUAGAUUUAGAGAGCAGGUGAUUCUAAGACGGAUGUGAAAUAAAACUUGCAAGGCUUUGCUAUUGAGAGACCUGGGCAUGCGGCGGAAAAACCAGAUGCCGUCCUUGGGAAAGCGAGGCCUCUCUGCUCCUUGAAUGAGCUGUUUUAGGAUGUUGCUCAUGUGCAAAUAUUGCACUUACCGCGGUGUAAAAUGUCAAGCCAUCACAUCCCUGGGAUAGAAACAAUUAAAGAAGGAUUUGUGUUUGUAAAAACAUGUGCCUAUCAAGGUAAGUGAUUAGGGUACAUGAAAGAAAGAAAAUAUGGAGACGUAAAAAUUGUGGGUUCUGCAAUCAGACCCUCUGGAUUUAAAUCCUACCUCCACUUGCUGAGUGAUAUUGGGCUAGUCAUUGAACCUCUCUGAGCCUCAGCUUUUUUCCCUGUGAAGUGGAGAAACUAAUAGCUAACCAUAGGUUUAUUGUAUUAAAUGAGUUAAUACAUGCAAAACAAUUCACACAUAGUAAGCAUGAAAUAAAUUCUAAUUAUUAUCAUUGUUAUGCACUAAGAAAGGAUUUUUGCAACUAAAGUAUCAAAAGAAGUGAAGAUGCUAAGGAAUUCUUUGGCUUUACAAGAUGAAUUCCAUACAAAAUGAGGCCGUCAGACAACCAGAUUCCAUAUGACAAUGAGAAAGUUCCCGCACAGUACUUCAGGCUUCAUCUAGGGAACAUGUUUAAAGGUUUGGAAUUCCACUGACUCAGACCCUGAUUUGUCAUGGAGGCAGACCUGUCAAGGUCUCAUCAGAGGAGCUGCUAGGGAAGUGGACCAGGAUCACAGCUGCCCAUUCUCUCACCCCACCUAUCUUCUGCAGAGUGGCCCAUUUGUGCUUUAGGAGGAAGAGUGCAGGAGCAGUGGUCAGCAUGCUGUGAACGUUACUUUCUGAGCAUGGGUGGGUCUUGAUAAAUGCUCCUGUCCACUUCAUUCCCUCUUAAUAGACCCAUCAAACAAGCUCUCGUUGUUUUCCAGCGCCAACCUAGGUAAACCAGUCAUUUUGUGCCCCAGCGUGUCAAAGAAAACGCCUGCUUCCCAGAAGUUUCCCAUUAACGGGGAAAGAAGGCUUGUUCACACAGCCUUUUAUUGUAAACCAGCUCAUUCUUUGGCAAUCUGAAACCAAGACUGCACAUUUAGCCAGGCGGGUCUUUUCAAAGCAUGUCCUUUACCAUAGUGUCCAUUGCAUUAUGUCUUCUUUCUUGUUUUGUGUUAUCAUUUUUGUGAUGCUUUAAUGCUCAGUGCACAAACUGAAGCUAUGUGGCAUCCGUAUCAUGGUGUAUUAGGAUUCCAAAAAAACAUGCAAUCCCUGAGCAGACAAUAAACUUGAUUUUGCACAA